rnacentral:snRNA from 1 species
GUGCUUUUUUCAGUGGCACAUAUACUGAGAUUAGACCCAUACAGAGAAGAUUAGCAUGGCCCAUGUGCAAGGAUGACAUGCAAAUUCAUAGAGCACUCCAUAUAUAU